CGCACCUUGCACCCUUUGGUAUUCCGAAGGGUACGCCCGUUUGAGUGUCAUUGUAAUCUCAAUCCCACGACUUUAUGUUGUGUGAUUGGACUUGGAUCCUGUCGCAGUCUGUGACUGAUCCGAAAUGCAUCAGCGUGUGUCCGUCGUGACGAUAAACCGAUUGUUAAACUUCAUCGGGCUCGCUCUGUCGAGGUUGUCUGGCGAAAGCACAUGCUAAACCCCCCUACAUUUUGACAAUUUGACCUCAAAUCGGGUGGGAUCACCCGCUGAACUUAA
rnacentral:misc_RNA from 1 species